GGUUGGGUCGGCCGGUCAUGCCUCUGGUAUGUACUGGUCUCACUGAUUCCUCCUUCCUGAUGAACCUUAAUGCCAUUUAUUUGGUGUUUUGGGGAAUUUGGACUGUUACUUUGAAAAAAUUAGAGUGUUUAAAGCAAGCUAACGCUUGAAUACAUUAGCAUGGAAUAAUGAAAUAGGACGUCCGAUCCUAUUUUGUUGGUUUCUAGGAUUGACGUA
rnacentral:rRNA from 1 species